CGAGGUUUAAUUGACAUAAAAAGACAAGUUAUAAAUACAACGAGCAUGGAAUAAAUAGAUAUAUCAUAUCAUUUACUCCAAGUUUAAUAAAACUAUGUACUUAAUAUAAUUUAAAUUAAUAGACAUGUCAAUAAUCUAGGGUCUCCAAGUACAUGUCAAUCCAAGACAAAAGUAAUCACGAUAGCAUAAGAUUAUUUAUUACGUACUAAAUAAAAUAUUAGGGCAAUUAUAAACAUCUAUCAAAUAAGGCACAUGCUCUGUUGUAUUCAUAUUCCACAACAUUGUUGGAGGCUUUGGAUCCAAACCUUAUUGCGUAAUUGAGCUUAUGAUUUCUGGGCUUACCAAAACCACUCCUAUUCUAGAGCCUACAUCUCAACACAAGCCAUCGACGUAGAGGCUCCAAAUCUGAGGUUCAAUUGGUUUCAUCGUUGCCUCUAUCUCGAGGAUGAUGUUGGUAAAUUCCCAACAAAGUCUAUAAGGGCUUUGACUCUUAAUGGAGGUUCUUGAUUUGAAGAUUAUAUCAAAUUCACUUAGCUCUAUAAUCCACUUCAUCAACCUACCAUAAGCAUCUGUCUUGUGAAACACCUAUUUAAGAAGAAAGUUUAUUAGCACAUGAAUGCUAUGGGCUUAAAUAUGGCCUCAACUUUCUAGAAGUGAUGACGAGGGAUAGAAUGAGCUUCUCAAUAUCUGGGUAGUAGACAUCCGCUUGUACGAUGGAUUUACUUACAUAGUAUAAAGGUAGUUGGUGAUUGCAUUAUUCUCUUGUAAGAACGGUGCUAAUGGCCUCUUUAGAUAUGGCCAAAUAUAGUAGCAGGAGCUCAUUAGUAUUGGGUUUAGAGAGGAGAAAGGCCUAGACUCAAUGCUUCUUUGGUUGACCAUGUAGUUGAGGAACAUUCUAGAGGUGAUGCCAAAGGUGCACUUAAGGGGAUUUAACAUCAUUCGUACCUCUUUCAAAUUUGGAAAAUAGCAUCUAUGAGCUUGAUGUGGUCUAUGGUCUUAAGGAUCUGGAUGAGCAUGUCGUUCACAUAUAACUCCAUUGUUUUGCAAAUGAAGUCUGUAAACAUCCUAUUCACGAGCCUUUAAUAGAUGUCUUCAAUAUUUUUUAACCCCAAAUGGCAUCACCUUAUAAUAAUAAAGGCCCCUAUCAGUGAUGAAAGAUAUGUUCUCCUCAUCUUUGAAAUGUAUGGAAAUCUAAUUGUAGUCUAUAUUGGCAUUCAUGGAGCUCAAGAACAGUAGCACCCACAAGUGAGUCUAUCUAGAAAAGAGGGAAGCUAUCCUUUGGGCAAACUUCAUUAAGGUUGGAUAAGUCUAUGCAAACUCUCUACUUGGCAUUAUGCUUUUUCAUCCUAAGCCAGGAUCGAAUCCUCCAUGAGAUCCAUAGUUGCAUUACUUAUAGCUUCCUUGUUCGUAGACAAAAUGGAUUCGGAAUUGUCUUUCACUCUAUGGCAUAACUUGUAUUUAUGCACUUUAUAUUUGCAAGGAUUUCGCUCCAAAAAAUAUAGCCAUCCCUACGCUCUCCUAUGGAAAGUCCCACGAGGACAUCCACCUCUAGUAUACCCUAUGAGCUAUCAUUUCACUUUAGUUUUAACGUGGUGUUAUAAUACCGAUGCCAUGUUGCUCUAAUCAGCGUGGUUUUUUUUUUCUUGUAACUAAACAUUUCUCAGUGAGUGUUCCAUGGGUAUAGGUCACGAGCAAUGGAGUUAGAUUGGUGAACUUUUUUCCUCCAGCUCAUAUUGAGUUAUAAAAAGAGUUAUCCAGCCCCGCCAUUCAGCAUGAAUGGGGUAAGGGUCAUCCUUUCCUAGUGAAUCAAGGGCCCUUUGGACAUGAUCGGACUGGAGAUCCACCCCGAAUAUAGAUUUCCAUGAUGAAGCCAUUCGUUAUUUAUAUUUCGACAUCCCCUUUAGGCUUCAUACUUCCCUGGGUUUAUGGCUCUCCACUUUUGCUUAUUUCGAGUUAAUUUAGGAUCAAUGUUGAGGUGGUGAUAGCUCACUUUUGGGUCAAUACCAACUAAAUUUUCGUGUUUCCAAGUGAAGAUGUCCAAAUUCUUGUAGUGGCUUGAUGAAAUCUUGGAAAUCUAAUUCUUUUACUAAAGCAAUUAGUGAUCCGGGGCUUAGUGAUGUGAGGGUCAUUAAUGCAUAAUCUGACCUUUCUUAAAAAUAAAUUUGUUUUAACUAUUUUAUCGGUUUGUUCAUGAGGGUUGUCGAGAAUUAAAAAUGAUACGAUCUCGUCCAUUAAAGACCUUUUGUAGGAUCAUUUUAAAUUUCUUUGCAAGGAGUGGCUUGUUUGUGUAAUUAUUUCUUCCAUGACGUUUGGUCUAUCCAUGAAAAGAAUUCCCCUCGUAGGUUUCAAGAUUGGCCCAUAAGAGUGCUUCAUACCUUUCCUUUCGAGGCGGCGUUAUUCUUUGCAAGAGGGUGUCUCUUUUGAAUAAAGACUUCUUCCAUGAUAUUUCAUCCAUCCAUGGAAGGGGUUCAAGUAAGAAUGCGAUGUAGAUCCAGAAUAUAUCUUCAUUGAUAAACUAAUUACCUAAGUUGAAAAGGUCAUCCAAACAAGAUAAGUAGGCCAUGCCUACCGAUUAUACAUUCUCAAAUGUUCGACUUUCC
rnacentral:lncRNA from 1 species